rnacentral:rRNA from 1 species
UACGUAGGGUCCAAGCGUUUAAUCGGAAUUACUGGGCGUAAAGCGUGCGCAGGCGGCUUUGCAAGUCAGACGUGAAAUCCCCGGGCUUAACCUGGGAAUGGCGUUUGAAACUACGGAGCUGGAGUGUGGCAGAGGGAGGUAGAAUUCCACGUGUAGCGGUGAAAUGCGUAGAUAUGUGGAGGAAUACCGAUGGCGAAGGCAGCCUCCUGGGCCAACACUGACGCUCAUGCACGAAAGCGUGGGGAGCAAACAGG